rnacentral:rRNA from 1 species
UACGUAGGGAGCAAGCGUUGUCCGGAAUUAUUGGGCGUAAAGAGCUCGUAGGCGGUUUGUCACGUCGGGUGUGAAAGCCCGGGGCUCAACCCCGGGUCUGCACACGAUACGGGCAGACUUGAGUUCGGCAGGGGAGACUGGAAUUCCUGGUGUAGCGGUGAAAUGCGCAGAUAUCAGGAGGAACACCGGUGGCGAAGGCGGGUCUCUGGGCCGAUACUGACGCUGAGGAGCGAAAGCGUGGGGAGCAAACAGG